GACAUUUAUUUAUCAGAGACUCUGGCUGAAUAAAAUCUGUAGAAGCUUCUCCAGAUUUCAAUUUUUAAAGAACGUUUCCUGGCGGAGAUAAGAUCUUCACUAAAAAGAUAAAUCUAUGUCCUGCCAUAUGUACAAUGAGGAAAGAACAGAAGUCUUCUCCAAAGCACAAUAGAUUGAUCAGAAGAAUGGUCUCAUGAGCUAGGUUAUCUCAGUAGCUCUGAGGCCUCCUUCCCAUAACAGUGAACCUGAUUCCCAAGACAAAAUAGAGGGCUCCAACCAAGAGGGAGAGAAAACGAAAACCUGAGACUGAGGCUCUCUCUUCAAGCCGUUGAAUGGGAUAAUGCUACCAAGGCUAUGUAUGAAAGAGGGCUGGAGACGCAUGAGUGUCUGCAGAGCACUUGACCAGGGUCACACAGCCUGGAGGUCAUGGAGCAGGAGCUAGAGGACAGGACGACAGAGCCUACGCUCCCCGUCACCACUGCUCCAUACUGCCACGUGCUUUUCUGUCUUCCCACACCCGUGCUAGAACCCGGCCACUGGGUCACCAAGGAUCCUCACAGAGCACUGGCUCAUCUAAAGAGGUGUGGAAAGAACAAAACUUCAGCAUAAAAAGGCUUCACUAUCAAAGAAUUCCACUGGGAAGGUUCACUAUAAACUUCCUAAUGAAGCAAAUAAUAAAUGGCUUUUAAGAAAACA